rnacentral:rRNA from 1 species
GCCUUGCUGAAUUAUUCACCCUUGUCUUUUGCGUACUUCUUGUUUCCUUGGUGGGUUCGCCCACCACUAGGACAAACAUAAACCUUUUGUAAUUGCAAUCAGCGUCAGUAACAAAUUAAUAAUUACAACUUUCAACAACGGAUCUCUUGGUUCUGGCAUCGAUGAAGAACGCAGCGAAAUGCGAUAAGUAGUGUGAAUUGCAGAAUUCAGUGAAUCAUCGAAUCUUUGAACGCACAUUGCGCCCUUUGGUAUUCCAAAGGGCAUGCCUGUUCGAGCGUCAUUUGUACCCUCAAGCUUUGCUUGGUGUUGGGCGUCUUGUCUCUAGCUUUGCUGGAGACUCGCCUUAAAGUAAUUGGCAGCCGGCCUACUGGUUUCGGAGCGCAGCACAAGUCGCACUCUCUAUCAGCAAAGGUCUAGCAUCCAUUAAGCCUUUUUUUCAACUUUUGACCUCGGAUCAGGUAGGGAUACCCGCUGAACUUAAGCAUAUCAAUAA